rnacentral:rRNA from 6 species
CCCAGACAGCCAGGAUGUUGGCUUAGAAGCAGCCAUCAUUUAAAGAAAGCGUAAUAGCUCACUGGUCGAGUCGGCCUGCGCGGAAGAUGUAACGGGGCUAAACCAUGCACCGAAGCUGCGGCAGCGACGCUGAUGCGUUGUUGGGUAGGGGAGCGUUCUGUAAGCCUGUGAAGGUGUGUCGUGAGGCAUGCUGGAGGUAUCAGAAGUGCGAAUGCUGACAUAAGUAACGAUAAAGCGGGUGAAAAGCCCGCUCGCCGGAAGACCAAGGGUUCCUGUCCAACGUUAAUCGGGGCAGGGUGAGUCGACCCCUAAGGC